CAGCAGCCACGGGAAUACGUAGGUGGCAAGCGUUGUCCGGAAUUAUUGGGCGUAAAGCGCGCGCAGGCGGAUAGGUCAGUCUGUCUUAAAAGUUCGGGGCUUAACCCCGUGAUGGGAUGGAAACUGCCAAUCUAGAGUAUCGGAGAGGAAAGUGGAAUUCUUAGUGUAGCGGUGAAAUGCGUAGAUAUUAGGAAGAACACCAGUGGCGAAGGCGACUUUCUGGACGAAAACUGACGCUGAGGCGCGAAAGCCAGGGGAGCGAACGGGAUUAGAGACCCCUGUAGUCCCUGUCUCUUAUCCA
rnacentral:rRNA from 1 species